rnacentral:tRNA from 5 species
CGGAUGUAGCCAAGUGGAUCAAGGCAGUGGAUUGUGAA